rfam:Schistosoma mansoni, Puerto Rico, WGS project CABG01000000 data, contig: 0034
GCACUGCUGAGGAGUCUCAUAAUAGGACGAAACGGCCGUCCAGUGC